AACAAUGCAGGUGCUAAGAAAGAGGCCUACCAUCACAGUAUAUGGUUCUGAAGUCCUCAGGGGUUUAUCUGACAUUGCUUUUACUUCCAUUGACAAAUCAAGGUUGCUUGCAUCUGAUGUCUAUGGCAUCAUCAAUGUCUGGGACAGGAGAAUGAGUAAUCUUCCAUAUCUUGAGCUGGCCACCAAUACCCGUAGCACUAUUAAUAGUAUCCAGUUAAAUGUGGAAAAUCGGAUUGUUUUUGGGGCAAGCAAACAUGGCAUCAUCUAUGCUUGGGAUAUUCGUGGAGGAAGAACAUCUGUUGCUUUCCAAAGUCAUAAAGAGGUAAAGGGGCAGG